GUGCCAGCAGCCGCGGUAAUACCGGCAGCUCGAGUGAUGUCCAAUAUUAUUGGGCCUAAAGCGUCCGUAGCUGGCCGCGCAAGUCCGUCGGGAAAUCCACCUGCCCAACAGGUGGGCGUCCGGCGGAAACUGUGUGGCUUGGAACCGGAAGGCUCAGAGGGUACGUCCGGGGUAGGAGUGAAAUCCCGUAAUCCCGGACGGACCACCGAUGGCGAAAGCACUCUGAGAAGACGGCUUCGACAGUGAGGGACGAAAGCUGGGAUCUCGAACCGGAUUAGAUACCCGGUAUCC
rnacentral:rRNA from 1 species